rnacentral:lncRNA from 1 species
AUGAAAAAUUCAAUGAAACAAAACUGUGAAAAAAAUGCAACUAUGUUGUUAUUAGUUGUGAAAAUUAUUACACUUGGAUGCACAUUCUUUUUAUUAAAUGAUACACAUAACUAUAGAGAAAUAUGUAAUAGUAACACUGUAAAAAAAAAAUAUAUAACACAAAAUCAAAGAUUAUUAUCCGAAAUUGUAGGUGAAAAGGAAUACGAUAGCUUUAAUACAACAGACUUUAAUCCUCUAGCACAGGAAGAAGAUAUAAAGCUGAAACUUAAUGUUUCAAAAGAUGAUAUAAAACUAGAAAAUGAUGUAGAACUAGAUGAUAGUGUAAAAUUAGAAAAUAAUGUAAAAUUAGCACUUGGUAUAAAUUUAGAAGAUGAUAUAAAAUUAAAAAAUAGUAUAAAAAUAGAAGAUGAUGUACAAUUAGAAAGUAAUGAAAAAUUAGAAGAUAAUAAAACAUUAGAAGAUAAUAAAACAUUAGAAGAUANNNNNNNNNNAGAUAAUAAAACAUUAGAAGAUAAUAAAACAUUAGAAGAUAAUAAAAAAUUAGAAGAUAAUAAAAAAUUAGAAGACGAUAUAAAAUUAGAAGAUAAUGUAAAAUUAGACGAUAGUAAAAAACUAAGAAAUGAUGUAGGACCAGAAAAAGAUAUAGCAUAUAAAAAUAAUUUAGUAUAUGAUGAUUUAGAACAUGAUGAUGAUUUAGAUUGUGAUGAUGAUUUAGAACAUGAUUAUUAUAAAAAAUAUGAUGAAGAUGUAGAACCAUAUGAUGAUAUAGAGCAUGAUAAUAAUUUAGAACAAAAUAAUGAAUAUGAUGAAAAUAUUAUAACAAAUUUAAGUAAUGUAAUUAAAAAUGAACAGGGAUCUAGAUUUAAUAAAUCAUAUAUACUCGAUCAAUUCAUUGAAAAUUUUGAUAUAUACGCAUAUAAUAGUAAAUCUAUACAUAGCGAUUUAGAUACACAUAAUAAUGCAAAUGAUGAUUCAUGUGUCCACAGUGAUGUAGCCACAUUAGGUGAUUCAAACGAUAUCGAUAACACUAAAGAAUUAAAUGAUUUUGACGAUUUUACUGAUGAAGUUAAAAGUGGUUAUAUUACUAGAUCAGAUGAAUCAGGGGGCUAUGUAGAUAGUGAAAUGUCAACAAGUGAUACACAAGAAAUAUUAAAUAAUGCAGUAUAUAAAGCAUGUGCUACAUGUAUUAAAAAUAUACCAGGUGCUAAAAAAAGAUAUAACAACUGGGAUUAUGACUCAGAUAAAGAUAAUGAAAAUGAAUUAAAAGUAAGAUCUAAAGUAUACAAGAAUUUUCAUAAAUCCAGAAGUUACGGUAAAUAUAACACUAAAAAUAAAAAUAAAUAUGACUAUGAUAAGCAUACUAAUGAUAAUCAGGAUCAGGUAAGAAUGAUUGAUUAUAAAAAAAAAAUAAAACAAUAUGAACUUAAAAUUAAAAAGUAUACAAAUAAAAUACAUGAAUUAAGAAAAAAGUAUUGGAAAUUAUCAAAAAAUUAUAAUAAUAACUCUAAAGGAAUUUAUAAUGAUGAUACAAAUACUAAAAAAGAUAUUAAAACGAACGUGGAUUCGUCAACAAUAGACAAUAUUGCCUAUUAUUUAUUAGAUGAUAUAUCCGACACUGAAGAAAACAUGCAUAAAAAAUGUGAUCUAAUAAAAGAUGAAAUUUAUAAUAAAUUAAAUUAUAUUCAAGACGAAAUAGAUAUAAUAGUAAAAGAUAUUGUAGAAAAAUUUGUAAAUAAAGUUGAAGAUUCAACACAACUAAAAUCAGAAGAAAUAACAGAUAUGAUUAAAGAAAUACGUGAACACAUUGAACCAUAUUGUAAUGAUUUAAAAUAUAAAUUAAAACCAAAUAUAGAGGAAUUAUUAAAACCGAUUGCUCAUAUUUUUAUGCAAAGAAUUAAUAAAAUCGAGCAAAUAUUUUUAAAUAAAAUUAAACAUUUACAUCUUAAAUUAGAUAUUUUUACAGAAAAAAUACAACCAAAAAUAGAUGAAUUUAGGGAUAAAUUAAAAAAUGAUGUAGUUGAU